CUAUUUUCUUGGCAUUCUCUUGUUAUGUGAGAAAAUAAAUGAUGGUGUUAUCAAAAGUAUUGGUCACUCAAUUAGGUUUAGAAUCAAAUUGUUUUAUUUUUCUUUUUCUUUUUUUUAGAAAAAAUAUCAAGUUAUUAUCUGUAGAGCAUUUAUCAGAAAAAAUCUUCAAGGUUAACAAGAGCAGAUUAUUUUUGUUCAAAUAAGCAUAAUAUUUACUUCAUGUGCUAAAUUUAAUAAGAAUAAUUAACCUUCUAAUAAACAAGAGCAAAGGAAUGUAUUCAUAUAUAGACUGACACUUGAUUAGAGCUGUUUACUGAAUUUGGACUGUGUAGCAGUUUCUCUAGCUAAUUGCUCCAGUUGCCAUUUUUUUAGAGAAUUGUAUAUGCAAUUGUAACUAUUUAUCUCACUAGACUUGUAGCCUUUCUGGCAGUCUAAUUGCAAACUGAAGUCCAUUGCGAAAGUGACCUACAGUCUAUUUGAUUUCAUUUUUCCAAUUUAUUUUGCAACUGCAGAAAGUUUGCAGUUACAGCAAAACAGACAGUUGCAAUUAUAGCUGUUUUUUGGCAAAUUUUAUGUGUAGUUAUAGAUGCAGUUGAAGCUACAGUUAUAAUUGUUAUGUGCGAGUUGGGAACAAUUCUUUUGCAGUAAAGUUUAUUCAUUCCCUCCAUAGUUAUGUGAUGAAGGAUUGCGCUUGUUCAUGUCUAAAUUUCUUAUGCACAUGGAAAGCUUUGAUAAGCCCCUUAAACUCCUGUGGUGAGGAUCCUAUCUCAAACUUCUUACUUAAAAAUACUUGUAAUCUUCAUUUUCUCACUCUAUUUCCACUCUUUGUCAUCUGCCCUAGCAAAUACUUCAAGGUCAAAACUGAUGAGAAGAGUCAGAGUUCAAGGAAGAGGCAACACAAAGUUAUAUCCUAUACUCACUUCAAUUGUUUGUUGUAUGGCAUGUUGAUCCAUUUAGUUAUAUGACCUGAUUUUUAAUAUUCUGAUUUAUUCGACAGGCUUCAACAUUGUUUAUGAUAUUGUUUAUUCA